rnacentral:lncRNA from 1 species
AAACCGCUAGAAUUAUUUUGGCCACAUUUGGAGUGAUGCUUUCUCAAAGACAUUUUGGCACUGUAGGGGUGGAAAAAGUUUUCCUCAACCCUCUUAGAGUUCCUGGCUGAAUCUGGAAAUUAAACUGACAGACAGAUUAACAGGAAAGAAGCAUAUCAAUUUAUUUAAUAUAAAUUUCACGCGACAUGGGAGCCUUCGUAAGGAAAUGAAGACCUGAAGAAAUGGUUAAACCUGAAUGUUUUCAUGCUCGGGUUAGAUGAAGAGUGGAGAGUCACCGAAAGCAGAAAAUACUAGAAAAAAGAGUAUAAGCCAAGUGUAGUAAAGUGGAGGAGACUUAGCAAGACCUGUUGGUUCAGAUUCCUCUUGGUGUCCCUUUGUCCUUGGAGAUAAGGAUACCGAGGCACCACUUUUCUACCUUGUCUCUUCAUAUGUUUGUCUUUUUGGUUAAACGGAGUUAUACAAUAUGUGGCCUUUUGUGUCUUGUUUCUCUCAUUUAACGCGGUGUUUUUGAACUUCAUCCUUCAGCAUGUAUCAGUAUUCCAUUCCUUUUUAUUGCUGAAUAGUAUUACAUUGUAUAUAUAGACUGCAUUUUGUUUAUUUUCUAAGCAAUUGAUGGCUAUUUGGGUUAUUUCCACCUUGUGGCUAUUAUGUAUAAUGUAGUUAAGAACAUUCCCGUUUAAGUCAACGUUUGAACAUAUGUUUGCAUUUCUCCUGGGUAAUUAUCUAAGAGUGAAGUUUCUGGGUCCUAUGGUAAAUUUAUGCUUAGCUUUUUGAGAAACUGCUAAACUGUUUUAAAAGGUGGCUAUAACAUCUCACUUUCCUGUGAACAAUGUUUGAGAGUUCUCUUUUCUCCACAUUCUUGACAUUUGCUGUUAUCUGUCUUUUUGAUUACAGUACAGCCAUUUCGGUCAGUGUGGGGUGGUAGCUCACUGUGGUUUUAAUUUGCAUUGCUUUAAUGACUAAUGAUGUUGAGCACAUUUUCAUGUGCAUAUUAUCCAUUUAUGUAUCUUCUUUGAUAAAAUGUCUAUUCAACUUUUUUGUCCAUUUUUUAAUUGGGUUGAAUUCUUACUUUUGAGUUGUAAAAGUUCUUUGUAUACUCUGGAUACAAAUCCCUUAUCAGAUGUGUGGUUUGUAAAAUUUUCAGGCUGUUCUUUUAUUCUAGUGGGAUAUAUCAGUCAGGGAUUGCUAGGUGAUACUGCUGAAAAAAAUUCAGUGGCUUAAAACAUCAAAG